UCGAGAGGUUGGCGCGGGCGAGCGCCUCGCCAACCCGGUCAGAUCCGGAAGGAAGCAGCCGCAACGAGUCCCGUUUGGGUCGCUGUCCAGCCUCUCACCUUU
rnacentral:SRP_RNA from 1 species